rfam:Heterocephalus glaber contig198373, whole genome shotgun sequence.
CGCUGAGUAUCUGCAGGACCUUGGGAUCGGAAAGUGACACCCUCUUCGAAUUGAAAG